GGCAACGUUCAUAUCAUGCUCAAAACACCAGUUCUCGUCCGAUCACUGAAGUUAAGUAGCAUCGAGCACGGUUAGUACUUGGAUGGGUGACCACUUGGGAACACCGUGUGACGUUGUCA
rnacentral:rRNA from 1 species